GACGAACGCUGGCGGCGUGCUUAACACAUGCAAGUCGAACGGACAGGCCCUGCUUUUGCUGGGUGCUCGUGAGGCGAGCGGGUGUGUAACACGUGAGUAACCUGUCCUUGACUUUGUGAUAACUUUUGGAAAAUGGGGCUCAUACAGGGUAGGAGAUCCUGCUGCACGGUGGUGGUUGGUAAGUUUCGGCGGUUGGGGAUGGACUCGCGGCUUCUCCGCUUGUUGGUGUGGUAGUGGCUUACCAAGGCUUUGACGGGUAGCCGGCCUGAGAGGGUUAACGGCCACAUUGGGACUGAGAUACGGCCCAGACUCCUACGGGAGGCAGCAGUGGGGAAUAUUGCACAAUGGGCGGAAGCCUGAGGCAGCAACGCCGCGUGCGGGAUGACGGCCUUCGGGUUGUAAACCGCUUUCGCCUGUGACGAAGCGUGAGUGACGGUAAUGGGUAAAGAAGCACCGGCUAACUACGUG
rnacentral:rRNA from 1 species